AUGAACAACAUCAUCAUCCUCAUCUGGAUAUUGCUGUGCUCUAUACAAGGCUGCAGUGGACAGAUCACAGUUACUCAAACUCCUGCAGUUCAAACAACUGAAGCAGGAAAGACUGUUGUGAUGAGAUGCACCGCCAGCACUCCUUUAACAGGCUGCAGCCCAAGACCAUGUCUGUCCUGGUACUUACAGAAACCUGGAGAAGCUCCUAAACUCCUCAUAUAUUAUGCAACAAGCCGUUACACUGGAACUCCAUCUAGAUUCAGUGGCAGUGGGUCUAGCUACGGAAGUGAUUUCACUCUCACCAUCAGUGGAGUCCAGACUGAAGAUACAGGAGAUUAUUACUGUCUGAGUGUACACUGUCCUAGUAGCUAUGUGUUCACACAGUGA